GUUUCAGUGGAGCGACUCUCUCUGAUAAUGAUGAUGUGUCUCUCCUCUCAGUCGACGGCCUGCAGUGUUACGGCUGUAACGUCUUCCACGGGCAGAAGUAUGUGGACGUGGGCUGCACUAAUCCAGAGGUCAUCACGUGCACGCACUCGCACAAGGGCUUCAAGCAUCGCUUCUGCAUCAAGACCGAGAGCACGGCACUGGGCAUCGUCCUCACCAGUGGCUGCGCCACCUCACGCCACUGCCAGCAGCAGGAACUGCCUGGAGUCUCCAUCCACUGCUGCCACUCGGACCUGUGCAACAGCGCCACCCACCGGCCAGCACAUUCACUGCAGCGUGCACUGCUGCUGCUCGUGCUCGCACGGAUAUGCUUAUGAUUCACUGCAUGAUGACCUCUGAGAAAGAGAAAGUGGACAGAAUGUUGGGCAGCCAGAUACACCAGACAACUUCCUCUGUAGAGCAGCACUGAUGUGAUGCAGAGCCAUCAAAGCUCAGUGGCAUCACUCUUCAUGUGUGUUCAUUGUUGUUCUAUCAGAUGAUAGGUUAUGUUCUGCUGGUUAGCACUGAACUUUACAGUCCUGUUCUGCAUGUACAUAUGUACUAAUUAUAGUAAUUACAAUAACUGGUAAUCACUAGGUACUCUUACUGAACUGAACCCACUGAUUUAAAUUUACUCAUCCUCAGGCCAUCCAAGAUAUAGGUGAUGUUUGUUCUUCAGUAGAACAGUAAAGACCAUUUUUAGCUGAAACUGUGGCCCUUGGUGAUUCAUAAAAUGCAAGUCAAUUACUUCCGACACUUUGAGAGUCAAAAAAAAGUAUUUUGGGCAACACAAAAUGAAUACCUGCAGCACCUGACAAUAUAUUGUGGUCUUAUGAAGUGAAACGAUCAGUAUGUGCAAGAAACUGAACAUUAUUUACAACAUUAUUGCCUGUUAUUCAGAUCCUCAGGCAAACAGUCCAGUGUAAUGUCCAGUUCACAAACAAAUCAUUCUUUUGAAUUGGUUAUUUUUAGUGAACUAUUUUAACCAGUUCAUCAAAUGGGGCUGAACCGUCUGUUCACAGCUCAAGCAGCACAGAGUGCUACAAGUUACUUAAUCAAAACUUACUUUCAGAUGCCUGACAGUCACUCAGUAACGUCACAAAAUAGCGGCGUAUAUGUGAUCCUUUGAUGAAUGAACUCAUUCUGCGCUUCAGUUCCACCAACAGUCACUGAACUGAGGAAACAGCUCGACUCGAACCGAAGACCAAUGAGCCACUGAUAUGAGCAUGUUUGAACUAAGCACUUAAAC
rnacentral:lncRNA from 1 species